GGGAAGCUUCGGGCGAGAGGCGGCGGUAAGACGGAUGGGGAAAGCGGUAGUCGGAAUUACAGGGCGGAAAGCGUGCGUAGGGGGUUGUUUAAGUCGGAUGUGAAGGCCCUGGGCUCAACCGGGGAAUGGCAUUGGAUACUGGGCAGCUAGAGUGCGGUAGAGGGUAGUGGAAUUCCCGGUGUAGCAGUGAAAUGCGUAGAGAUCGGGAGGAACAUCUGUGGCGAAGGCGACUGCCUGGACCAGCACUGACACUGAGGCACGAAAGCGUGGGGAGCAAACAGGAUUAGAUACCCUGUAGUC
rnacentral:rRNA from 1 species